AUUAGCUUUGUAGAGAGAGAUAAUGAGUCAGUGUUCCGUCCCAUGAAUCUGGGGAGAAGCUGAAGUGAUGGACUGCCACCCACCCUGAUGCCCUCCUAGACCCUUCUUGCGUUCUCCUCCAGCUCUGACAUUCCUGGAAAGGAAUUUCUCCUCCUGCACAGCCUCAACUCACAUAGUGCACAGCCUCAACUCACAUAGUCCCCAGCCCGCCCCUUGGGAAGUCCUUCCUCCAGUCUAAUCCUAGUCCUUCCUGCUGUAGAGCACAUGAGGUGCAACCUGCCUUAAUCAAGGGAAAACAGGGAAGACAUGACUGAAGGAAGGACCCUUGACAGAGAACCAAGAGGCAGUUACCCUACCUACUACGGAAGCUGCUAGAGAGGCAGUGGCCCUGUGGGGUCAGAGUUUGAAGGAUCCACAGACCAGCUCAACUCUUCCUGACAGAGGAAGCAACUGGGACACCCCCACUGGUCCCUGGAAUAUGACCUUGUGACUUGAUGUGUGAGAAGGUAGGUAGGGUGGUAAGUAGGAAUCCCCAGCCCCCAGACUGCCUUCCCUACACCUGGCUGGGCAUGGUGGCUCAUGCCCGUAAUCUCAGCACUUUGGGAAGCCGAGGUGGGAGGAUCA